AGUGCCUUGAAUUACUAUAAUUUUAGAAGCAUGCUUUACUCACUGAAUUUUGUUUUGACUCAUUCUUCAUGUUGGAAAUUAUUUUUCAGGUAUAAUUUUGCAUAAUCAAAAUGAAUAGAAGAGGUGAAGAUGUAUACUAUAGGCAAAACACUCCAAAUGAAAGGUUGCAGAUCCGAUGGUGUGGUGUUGCAGCUUGUAGACACCUUCUAUCUUCUUGUAUGAGUGUUACAGAUCCGGUGGCGUGGAGUUGAAGCUUGUAGACACCUUCUAUCUACUUAUAUGUGUGUUGUAGAUCUAAUGGAGUAGCAUAGGAGCUUAUGAAUUGAGUUUUUUAUUGCUUUGUAUAGGUAGACUAUCGUGCACAACUUGUCUCUUUCUAUAGGUAGAUUAUAGCGCACUAACGAAUCUCCCACUUUUACUGAUAGAUAACUGCAUUCACUAUAGUUCUCUUGCAUUUUCUAUAUAUAGCCUGUUAUUUGUACAACAAGUUUCUUAUAGUAACUCAUUGGCAUCCAUA